GACGAACGCUGGCGGCGUGCUUAACACAUGCAAGUCGAACGGAAAGGCCCUGCUUUUGUGGGGUGCUCGAGUGGCGAACGGGUGAGUAACACGUGAGUAACCUGCCCUUGACUUUGGGAUAACUUCAGGAAACUGGGGCUAAUACCGGAUAGGAGCUCCUGCUGCAUGGUGGGGGUUGGAAAGUUUCGGCGGUUGGGGAUGGACUCGCGGCUUAUCAGCUUGUUGGUGGGGUAGUGGCUUACCAAGGCUUUGACGGGUAGCCGGCCUGAGAGGGUGACCGGCCACAUUGGGACUGAGAUACGGCCCAGACUCCUACGGGAGGCAGCAGUGGGGAAUAUUGCACAAUGGGCGGAAGCCUGAUGCAGCAACGCCGCGUGCGGGAUGACGGCCUUCGGGUUGUAAACCGCUUUCGCCUGUGACGAAGCGUGAGUGACGGUAAUGGGUAAAGAAGCACCGGCUAACUACGUGCCAGCAGCCGCGGUGAUACGUAGGGUGCGAGCGUUGUCCGGAUUUAUUGGGCGUAAAGGGCUCGUAGGUGGUUGAUCGCGUCGGAAGUGUAAUCUUGGGGCUUAACCCUGAGCGUGCUUUCGAUACGGGUUGACUUGAGGAAGGUAGGGGAGAAUGGAAUUCCUGGUGGAGCGGUGGAAUGCGCAGAUAUCAGGAGGAACACCAGUGGCGAAGGCGGUUCUCUGGGCCUUUCCUGACGCUGAGGAGCGAAAGCGUGGGGAGCGAACAGGCUUAGAUACCCUGGUAGUCCACGCUGUAAACGGUGGGUACUAGGUGUGGGGUCCAUUCCACGGGUUCCGUGCCGUAGCUAACGCUUUAAGUACCCCGCCUGGGGAGUACGGCCGCAAGGCUAAAACUCAAAGGAAUUGACGGGGCCCCGCACAAGCGGCGGAGCAUGCGGAUUAAUUCGAUGCAACGCGUAGAACCUUACCUGGGUUUGACAUGGAUCGGGAGCGCUCAGAGAUGGGUGUGCCUCUUUUGGGGUCGGUUCACAGGUGGUGCAUGGCUGUCGUCAGCUCGUGUCGUGAGAUGUUGGGUUAAGUCCCGCAACGAGCGCAACCCUUGUUCACUGUUGCCAGCACGUUAUGGUGGGGACUCAGUGGAGACCGCCGGGGUCAACUCGGAGGAAGGUGGGGACGACGUCAAGUCAUCAUGCCCCUUAUGUCCAGGGCUUCACGCAUGCUACAAUGGCUGGUACAGAGAGUGGCGAGCCUGUGAGGGUGAGCGAAUCUCGGAAAGCCGGUCUCAGUUCGGAUUGGGGUCUGCAACUCGACCUCAUGAAGUCGGAGUCGCUAGUAAUCGCAGAUCAGCAACGCUGCGGUGAAUACGUUCCCGGG
rnacentral:rRNA from 1 species